CACGAGCGCACCCUCGCCUUUAGUUGCCAGCAGUUCGGCUGGGCACUCUAGAGGAACCGCCGGUGAUAAGCCGGAGGAAGGUGGGGAUGACGUCAAGUCCUCAUGGCCCUUACGUGGUGGGCUACACACGUGCUACAAUGGCAGUGACAAUGGGUUAAUCCCAAAAAGCUGUCUCAGUUCGGAUUGUCGGCUGCAACUCGCCGGCAUGAAGUUGGAAUUGCUAGUAAUCGCGUAACAGCAUGACGCGGUGAAUACGUUCCCGGGCCUU
rnacentral:rRNA from 1 species